rnacentral:rRNA from 1 species
UACACUCCUGCGGGAGUCAGCAGUGGGGAAUAUUGGACAAUGGGCGCAAGCCUGAUCCAGCCAUGCCGCGUGAGUGAUGAAGGCCCUAGGGUUGUAAAGCUCUUUCACCGGUGAAGAUAAUGACGGUAACCGGAGAAGAAGCCCCGGCUAACUUCGUGCCAGCAGCCGCGGUAAUACGAAGGGGGCUAGCGUUGUUCGGAUUUACUGGGCGUAAAGCGCACGUAGGCGGACUAUUAAGUCAGGGGUGAAAUCCCGGGGCUCAACCCCGGAACUGCCUUUGAUACUGGUAGUCUUGAGUUCGAGAGAGGUGAGUGGAAUUCCGAGUGUAGAGGUGAAAUUCGUAGAUAUUCGGAGGAACACCAGUGGCGAAGGCGGCUCACUGGCUCGAUACUGACGCUGAGGUGCGAAAGCGUGGGGAGCAAACAGGAUUAGAAACCCGUGUAGUCCAUGA